AUUGAACGCUGGCGGCAUGCCUUACACAUGCAAGUCGAACGGCAGCACGGGAGCAAUCCUGGUGGCGAGUGGCGAACGGGUGAGUAAUAUAUCGGAACGUGCCCAGUCGUGGGGGAUAACGUAGCGAAAGCUACGCUAAUACCGCAUACGAUCUAUGGAUGAAAGCGGGGGAUCGCAAGACCUCGCGCGAUUGGAGCGGCCGAUAUCAGAUUAGGUAGUUGGUGAGGUAAAGGCUCACCAAGCCGACGAUCUGUAGCUGGUCUGAGAGGACGACCAGCCACACUGGGACUGAGACACGGCCCAGACUCCUACGGGAGGCAGCAGUGGGGGAAUUUUUGGGACAAUGGGCGCAAGCCUGAUCCAGCAAUGCCGCGUGCAGGAUGAAGGCCUCGGUUGUAACUAGCUUUGUACGGUACG
rnacentral:rRNA from 1 species